rnacentral:rRNA from 1 species
UACAGAGGUGGCAAGCGUUGUUCGGAAUUACUGGGCGUAAAGGGCGCGUAGGCGGUCUUGUAAGUCUUGUGUGAAAUCCCUCGGCUUAACUGAGGAACUGCACGGGAUACUGCGAGACUUGAGAUCGGGAGAGGGAAACGGAAUUCCGGGUGUAGCGGUGAAAUGCGUAGAUAUCCGGAGGAACACCGGUGGCGAGGGCGGCUUCCUGGACCGACACUGACGCUGAGGCGCGAAAGCUAGGGGAGCAAACGGG